GGGUUCGGGGGCCGGCAGUGCCGCUGGGCUCUGGGCUGCUCCAGGGUGGGCUUGUGACACUGCAGCUAAAGGCAGUCUGAGGGGUACGCUUACUUAAUCUGAAACCCCAGAAGCUGUAUCUCGCUCCUGCAAUCCUGUUUGCAGUCCGACUGGAAUGUGUGCCAGUAGCAGUGUGCCUCUGCUUUCUCCCAGUGCCUGCUGUAGAGUCCCUCUCCUCUCUGCAGCCUGCUCCACAUUCAUCUCUGAGGCAGAAUGUUCCUGCUCCCAAGCUGCCUUCAUACCUUUUUACAUUGAACCCAUCUGAAAUGCAAUUUAGGUACUCCCAGCUGCUAAAGUCAAGCAGUGCAUGCAGCUGCUUGAAUAAUGUACAUCAACCUGAAAUCUGCUAAAAGGAAAGUCUGGAACAGCAUAUGUAUUUGGUGUCCU